GAUCAUGGCUCAGGAUAAACGCUGGCGGCGCACAUAAGACAUGCAAGUCGAACGGAAGUCGUUAUAAAAAGGAUCGAAGAUUUAUCUGAUUGAGAUUUUAUAACAAUGGCUUUAGUGGCGGACUGGUGAGUAACGCGUGAGCAACCUGCCUACUAGAGGGGAAUAACAGUGAGAAAUCAUUGCUAAUACCGCAUAUGCAAUGAACAUCACAUGAUGAAAAUGGGAAAAG
rnacentral:rRNA from 1 species